rnacentral:lncRNA from 1 species
GGAUCAGCACCUUUUGGGCAUAAUCGAUACUAUACCGGUGGUGUAAUUCAAACCCGUUAAGCCGUUCCUUGUGUUUGCUGUAAAUUCAUCGCUUUCAAUGUGCUUGUCUUAAAUGGGCCGGUAUCUGUCUGAUAGCGUUCUAAUCAUAGCCCACCAUAGUGCAAAGGCCCAUUUCCGAGUCUGAUUUUGGUCCCUCCGGCGCACCGCCGCGUCGUCCUCCACCGUCCGACGCCGCCGCGCCGCCUCCUCCUCCUCCUCCCUCCUGUUGAUCGAUCGCCCUCUCGAUCCGAGGACGCCGGAUGAUCCCAGAUACCCCUACUCGGCGCCGCCGCUAGGACCCUCCUCGUCGACGCCUGAACCCAUUCGUCGGCGGAGGAAUAGGAUGCGUGGGAGCAGUGUGGACCCUAGAUCGAUGGCGCGGCGGCGGAGCCGGCCGGCGAUGUGGAGCCUAAGGUCCCGUAGGUAGGUUCCUUCUUCGUCCUCUCUCUCUUUCUAUAAAUUUGGAUUUGGUUUUGUGCAAUACGCACGACGGCCACCACAAUCUUGUUCAUGUGCAUGAAUGGAAUGAACGAGGAAAACGUGAUUGGAAUGUGCUUUCUGUUGGAAGUUUCUCACUCGUUGGGUUCAUAUUCACCUGCACGUGUUCUGAAUCUUUUAUGUACAUGAUCCGAAAUUUAAAAUUGGUUCACACAAAAUUUGGAAUUGCCCAUGCACCUGUUCAUAUUUUAUCUUCAGGGGUCUGGCCAUUCCACUAUCCAAGCACUGCAAUGGAAGUGAUUGUAAUUGACUGAAAAGUUGAUGCGACGCAGGACAGGAAAGAGGUAGACUGUUUGAAUUGGAUACAUACAUCGCAUUUUAGAGUUUUAUGAGAAUAACUUUGCUUUACUUAGGUUGCAACAUCCAAGUUCAUUGCAUAACCUAUUUAGCGUAAUUAAGCAUGAUGAAGAUAGAUGCACGUUUUAUUUGAAAAAAAGUUAGGAGUUUAUGUCCUUAAUGAUAUACUCCAACUCCAAGGUGAGGCAACAAGAUACUUUAUCAUGAAUGUCGAGUUAUAUAUAUAUAAAAUGAAUGCUCAUUUAGGCCUGUUCGGCUCUCCCGUUUCUAACAUAACACUAGGUUCACUCGUUUUUCAUAUGCUUCUCGAACCACUAAACGGUGUAUUUUUUGCGAAAUUUUUUACAAAAAAAUUAUUUUGAAAAAUUAUAAUAAUCUAUUUUAUAUUUUUUAUAAUUCAUAAUUAAUUAACCAUGUAUUAAUCUGUUACUAUGUUUUUCGAGGCGGAUAAUUAGCCCCACGCGAAACGCAGCCUUAGUAUUGUAUGAUCUCUGGACUUCCUUGAAGAUUUGGUUGAUUUCUUCGGCAAUUCCAGUUUAACUCCUUUGACAUUAGCUUAACGCAGUUUUAGCAUUUUUUUUUCGUGCAUGACUCUGCUUAUUUGGGGUUCUUUUCUUAAUUUGAGAGCUAUUUCCAUCGGUAUUAUUUUCAGCCAAAUUGUCAUUUGUACAAAAGUUCUGAUGUCGGUCGUGAUUGAGUAGUGAUGGUCACUGUAAUUAACUUGUCAAAGAAUUGGUGCUGGGCAAUAAUCAUACUACAUACUUUAUUGAUUUGUUCGUAUUGAAUUGAAUGGCGCUCCUUUGGAGGCCAGAUUUAUUGGGGGAAGGUGAGCCUUCUGUAAAUCAUCAGCAUAGUAGAUACUGAGAUUGUCAAUGCUGAUCUUAAAUGAGUUUUAAGUGCUCUUUACUAGCUAGGUGCCCAUGCAUCGCUCCAAAUUUCUUUCUUUGAGCAGCUACGUUUGAAAAAUGAACUGUCGGCAUGUCAUACCAUUAAGUGAGUGGGAAGCUGACAGUGUACCAUUUUUAUGCAAGGGGUUUGGUGUGAUUGAAGACGAGGCUUGAAAAGUUUGUGAGUACAAGAUCUGAGGCUUUGGUGCAUCCAUCUCCGAAUAGUAUUUAUCUUGAUGUGCUCACAUUGGUGUUCUGUUCUUCCCCUCUUGAACAAAAUGGAAAAAGGUAUGUUAUUUCAUUCUCAUAAUAAUAUCUCUACUGUUCAAGUAGAUUCACUAUUUGCAACUUGCUAGUCUCAAGGUUUUUUUUAAUGUUUGGCCUUGCAGCAUGUACUAUAAGAGCAAACAUUACAAGUCUAUUAACACAAACUCUAAACACAAACUCUAAGAUGCGAUAAAAAAUUAAAUAGUGAGUUAAAGAAAAGAAAAAAAAAAGAGAGAAUGAGUUAUCCCUCAUACAAGGGGUGGCCUCCAUACAUUCUCCAAGAAAAAAAAAGAUAUAUAGUAUAUUGGCUAAUCAAUGGAUAAAAUUAGUGUAAGAGAGGUAGUGUAGAGGUGGUGUGUUAUAUGUGUUACCUCUUAAUUAAUGAGUUUCUUGUAUGGACAAAAUUAAAGAUGACAUCUACCUCUAGUAUAAAAUUUGUUCUAAGCCUCUUAAUACAAACCCAAAAUAUCAUGUAAGAUCAAAUGGUGAGAUGGAGGAGGAAAAGAGGAGAGAGGGAAUGAGCUGCCCUAUGCAAGGGCUAGCCUCCACACAAUCUUAAGAGAAAAAAGAAAUAGUACAUUGAUUAGUCAAUGGUUGGAAUUAGUGUAAUAAAGAAAGCGUAGAUGCAAUGCGUUGUAUGUGUUACCUCUUAAUUGUUGAGCUCCUUAUAUGGAUAAAAUUAAAGGUGACAUCCACCUCUAUUAUAGAACUUAGCAAGUAGUGAUAAAGAUGCAUUGUAUGCACACCUAAUUGGUAGUUCUACGUAUGUGUGAAUGUAUUUCAUAUUGUCCUCUUAUGGUUAAUGUAGUAUAUAAGAACCAAAACACACUAAUCCUUAUAGUAGGUACCCCAAAGACUAGGGUAGGCGCUAUCGAUGGGUACAUCGCGUAGCAUUGAAAGAAUAAAUAACCGUAAAUACAAUUGUCGAUAUCAAAUUUAUAAUUUAAACCUAGGUGAACAGAAUCAACCACAAGAAUCUAACCAGUUAAGUGACACCAAUCUUGCCAUGACUCUACAGGUCUUACUCCACACUUUUCAUCAUUGAUAUGCAAAAUAUCUAUUUUUACCCUCGUACCAGGCAAUUUAUCCCACCAAACCUGAUUUUCUUGGCCUCCAAAUGCAGAUUCCGAAGACUUUCCCAUGCUGAAGGUCCCUAUCGCCGAAUUGUUUGAGAAUCAUUUUAAAUUACCAGUACUCACUGUUUGACACAACAUGGUCAUUAUUAUGGCCUCCCUGGGUUUACCACAAUGUACAUGUUUGGUUGAGUGACUGAACUGCCAAACCUAUAUGCUUAUAUUGUGGAUACCUAGCCUGUUAGAGCGAGCACAAUAAGUGUGAUAUAAGCAUGCUUACAUUAUCUUUAUGUUUACAUGAUGUUUACAUGAAGAAAAGAAAGAAAAACGAUUUACAAAUUUACAACAAGCUACAACACAAGCUCUAAGACACUUAAGUAUAUAUGAGAAGAUGGGCCAUACAUGAAUGAUGUAGCAUAUACUUAUGUGUAACUAUUAUAUAAGUUGAUUCCGUGUUAACUCUUAAUGAGAUGAAAAUAUUUUUCAGCUAGUUCUAUUAACCUUGCUGUAAGUACCAUUAAUAGCCAUGUCAUGUCUCCCAUAGAAGAUUAAUUCCCAUAGGUCGGUGGUUCAGUAGUACUAGAGUACUACAUUAACUAUUCAUCCGUAGACCAUAGGUGGUGCACGUCCCUACAUUAAACUUGCUCUGAUGUGUUAAUUAGCGGAUCUAAACAGGCAUAAUCAGCUCCUCGGGGUUGCAGACAAUCUUAACUAUCUCGUUGUCGAUCUAAUGGAGACAUGUCAUACUUGCUUAAUUAUCUUGCCCACGUGUACUGCUGCUCCGCUCCUGCGUUCGCCAGCCUCUCAGCUGUUCCAGGUCAAUGAUGCUACUAAAUGAGUAUGUAUUAGGCCAGUCUCAAUCCUCGGUUAUACUACAUACAGUUUUGCUAAAACAACUAACUCGAUGAAAUGAUGCAUGAAGCAGCUACUCACGGUACAAUGAAAUAUUGUACCAUUUCUAAAACUAAAUAAAACAUUUAAUUACUGUUAAAAGUUUGAUUGCAUGUAGAGAGUUUGAUUGUAUGAAACGCCUCAAACCCUUUUAUGCUAAUGUGUUACUUAAUUAAUAUACAUAACAUCUCUAUGAAACCCCAUUGAGACUGGCCUUAGUAAUAUCGUAAUGUCACUAUUAAUAAAUCUUAUAUCUUCCGUGUUAUAUAUAAACUGUACUGGACACUAUUUUUUAAUGUAAAUGUUGCUAACUCAUAGUAAAAUAUAAUGCAAUUAAUCUCUUAUUAUAUCUGAGUGUUGUAUAUAAAUCAUGUCUUACAUAAGAUAUGUGGUUUAAUUUUUGUUUUUACUCACUCACCUGCUACAUUGACUUUUACCUUAUAUUCUGAAUGUCCUAGGCUGUUAGGUCAAAUAUCACAAGAAUAGUGUCAGGGCAUUAGCAGGAGAAGAGCAGUUUGCCUCUGAAUCUGAUGCUCCUAUGGUUCCAUUUGUGCCUGUAGUUGGAUUCCACAGCGGGAUGUGUGCCUGCAUUAUACUCUCUCUCAAAAAAACACCAAUUCUUCGGUUUCCAUAUCUAACGUUUAACUAUCCGUCUUAUUUAAAAUUUUUUUAGAAAAUUAGAAAAAAAUUAGUCACACGUAAAGCACUAUUCAUGAUUUAUCAUUCAAUAAAAACAAAAAUAUCAAUCGCAAAAAAAUUUAAAUAAGACGUUGAGUCAAAAAUUAUAGGUAAAAAAUGAAAAAUUGGUUUAUUUUAGGACGGAGGGAGUAUUAUUAUCCGUCGUCUUCGUGCGAGCAUGCACACGAGUGCCCAACACAUGUGCGAGUAGCCUUGCACGUGCCUAACAUCACCUAGCACAGCUGGAUCGUGCAGGCAAGUAUAUAAUCUUAACUACCCAAUACUGCACAGCACUUUUGAAAAAAAAAAAUCUGCUACCCUUGUCUUAAUUUACGCAUCAGCUUAUCAUUAAAAACCAAAAUUUGAUAUUUAAGCUAGAGUUGAUUUUGGUAUAUUUGUUAUCGUAGUUAAUUUUUUAGUUUUAGCUUUUAGAUGGCUAAAAACACAUAUAAAACAAUUUUAUUUAUAAAUUAUUUUCGUUUGCAAAAUACCAUUUGAUUUUUUAUAAAAAAAGACAAACAAUCAUCCCUACAUUGUUUUGGUCGCUUACGCCUUACCUAUGCUCUUGAUUAGAUUUUUGUCUCUGAAGAUCGAUCGUUACAUUUUAUCCUUGAUCCUGGAUGGAGAUGGUGAUUUUUGAUGACUAGGCGUCACGUAAUAUAUUUCUGAGCUACAAAUCAAAAUAAAACAAUGUAUUUGAGAUGGAAGAGGGAAAAUGACAUGAGGUUGACAAGUGGGAUUGUAGUGUUUUCUUGAUUUUUUGUAUUUAUUUCGAUUUUUUGUUAAUAAUUUGUAUGGUCUUGGUACCAUUGCUCGCCAUUUGUUGAUAUAAACUCUAUGUUGCUAAGUUAUGUAGAAUCACCUGCUUUUGAGUUCCACGAUGAAACUUUGAACGGUUUUACAAGCUGAGGGAGGGAGACCAACAGUGAAUGGUUUUCUAAUUGAGGGAUCGGACAAAAAUAAUGAGACUAAUGAAGAUUUUUUUCAAUUUUUAAAUCCACUGUAGUUUAGAGCAGAAAUAUUUCAACUCUAAUUCUUGUAAUAGAUUUGUAUUACCCUAAACAAAGAGCAUAUCCAAUAGCCUCGAUAUUCCUCUUUUAAUCCUACAAUUUACAACCUCCAUCAGAACUCUAUGUUCUUUUUACCAAACUUAACUCUGUCACUAACUAUAAAUCUGGAUAUGUCUUUGUCUUAAUUCAGAGUCAAAAACUAAGUCUCUUUGAAUGAGAUGAUAAAGGAGGGGUCCAAGAAACUCUCCAAAUCAGGGGUUAUGCCACUCUUACUUGUCAAACCAAGGAAACGACUAGUUAAAUUUGGCUAACGGGUCCGGCUCUCCCACAUAUAAAUAUGUGUGCACAAUAAAUAAUAUAACUGUGACAAAUACAAACAACAUAACACCAUAUAUUUUUGGUAGCUUUCAGACUUAUAAGAUAGCGUAUAUAGAUAAAAAAAAAAGGAAAACCAUUGGUAUGGGCUAUAUAUGAUAGUGCAUGUAUAAUCCAAUUAUAUGGCAAUAUACCCUAAUAGCAAAAAAUCGGAUUAUCCUAAUAGCACUUAUAAUAGAGUAAUUCAAUCAUUUAACACAGUGUCAUGGAUAAACUGCAUUAAAAAUCGGAUAAUCUGUUGUAUCAUCGGAUUUUCGAAAUAAUAUCCUAAUUCGUCGGAUCUUAUAAAAUAAGUUACCAUAUACUCGGUUUGGCCAGAUUUGAAGCGAGUCGUACCAAAAAACAUCAAAUCCAUUUUCGCCCAUAUAGCUGUAGUUAUAUAAGACUUACAUCGAGUUAUAUUAUAAUUAGAUGCAGAUUAUACUGUAAUUGCACUAUAGCUGUAUUAUACUGUAGUUAUAUUGGAUAGUGUUUUGAGAUUUUCUAUCGAAUGUUAGACGAUAGAUAUUUUUAUGUUUAAUUCAUCCCAGCUUAUGGCUAAUCACUCUCCAUUACUCCUGCUUAUGCAAUUAGUAUGGGACCUACGGAUUGGACAUCUAGACUCUAGAGCCACAAUUAAGUCACGCGAUCCAGCGGCAUACCAAACAUCGGGACAAUGGUUGUCUAUAUACCUCACCUCAUGUCGGAUUAAUUAUCAUGUGUAUCAUCAUUAAUUUAAGAAAAACUUUAAUAUCAUCUUUCCAUUCGUCUACUAUUUAGACACGUGCUUCCAAACUACAUGCAACUUUUUUUAAGAAAAAAAUUCAUGCAUUGGUUGCAGGUAACAAAUACAAAAUAAAAAAAUAAUACAUUAAAUAUUGUAUAGAUAAUAAAGUAGAUAACUUAUUGGCAUGUCUAACUAUUUAUAUAUUGAGUAUCGAAUAUACAACAGCUAUGGUACAUGUCCUAAUUACUAUGCCAUAAUUAAGUCAUGCAGUUUAAUUACGGGGCCAUAAAUCCGGCAGUAAUGUUUCGUUUUGUCCAACGUGAUCGAGUUAGUUAGUGUUUAGAUUGAGAAAAUUUUUGGGAGAAGUGUCACGUUAAAUGUUUGACCGGAUGUCGGAAGAGGUUUUCGGACACGAAUGAAAAAACGAAUUUCACGGCUAGCCUGAAAACCACGAAACGAAUCUUUUGAGCCUAAUUAAUCUAUCAUUAGUAUAUAUUGGUUACUAUAGCACUUAUGACUAAUCAUGGACUAAUUAGGCUCAAAAGAUUCGUCUCAAGAUUUCUUUCAUAACUGUGCAAUUAAUUUUUUGAUUUAUUUAUAUUUAAUACUUUAUUUAGAUGUUCAAAGUUUCGAUGCGAUGUUUUUAGAAAAUUUAGGAACUAAACAAACCCUUACUAGUGCUCGAUCAAUGUACUCGUAUGGUCCGUACUGGUUGCAUUGAAAGGAGUAUGGACUUCCUCUAGAAGAUUAAUGCGCUGUCUGCACGUUGUGUCCAUUUUUUUCGUUAAAAUAAACUACUCUUAGCAUGCAUGUACUCCGAGUUGUACAGUACCAUAUUCUAAUCAAUUUAGAUGAAUUAAUCUGCCAUUCACAGUGGAUGUCUAGAGAGAAACUGAUAUCAUGAGUCUUGACUGGCCUGUUGAGUUACCAUCUAGUUCAAAGAAUUCAGUUUUAAUUUUCUAGGUCCUUAUUAGUUCGACCAAUGAAUCAUAAGCUUUUUCAAAUAGGUUUGUUUAUUUUAUUGUCAAAACCUUAUAGCUAUAGAUUCAUAAAACCUAAGUGAUGUUUGGGGGUCUUCUAAGCCAUAGGAAAUACUCCAUCUAUUCUAAAAUAUAGAAAUAUCGCCCUUUUUUAUAUAUGACACAUCUUGUUUCACUUUGUUAAGUGUUUGAUAAAAUAUUACUCUAUUGAAAUAUAUUUUUUGUGAAACAAAAUUUAGAUCAUUACAUUUAUAUUAUCGUAUAUAAUAUUAGACACAUGAUCGAGCGUAGUAGCAUAGCUAGGGGUGGUAGUAGGCCCAACAAUUUUACUUACAAAAUUAAAUUUAAGUGUCAUGUUCAAAAUAUGUUAAAAACAAAAUUGUAUAGAGUUUUGAGCUAAAAUAUUUUUAAGAAUUAGAUAUAUAGGAUUGUGAAAAAAAUCGCUGACCUUAAUAUAUUCCCACUCCUAAGCCUAGCAGGUGCAGGGAUCAUACGGGUACACAGUCAGGCACGUCUCUUUGUCACGGAACUAUUGCGAUUUGCUUACCAUGCACGCAUUGCACAGCACACGGUGAUCAAUGGCAUGCAAGUUGUUCGAGGAAGCAAUAUGUUCGUAAUCUAGACAAAGCUAUAAUAUCUUGAUCAUUUGAUUUUUUUUUAAAAAUCAAACGGGUAUUUAUAAAUGAAAAAUAAUUUAUAAAUAAAGCACUUAUAUACUUUUAUCUUAGUACUUAAAAACAAGGUUAAAAAAUAAACUAUAACAAAAACACUAAAAUUAAUAUUAAAUUUAAGAUUACUAUUUAAAUUUCGGUUUAUAACCUAAAAAAUAAAAAUUUAAUGAAUAGUAGUAUGUACGGUGGUUUAAUCUUAAAUGGGGAGUGUAAAGACAUUCAUUAAUUACAUUUUGACUUUGACAUGGUUUUUUGUUUUUUCAUGAUGCAUCGAUCACCGAAAGUGGAGCGACAAAGGGGAACACGUAGCUGAGUGGUGCAUUCGUGCGUUAUGAUUAAUUUGAGAAACUGUACAGUUUUUAAGAAAGUUUGUUUGGAGUUACUAAGGGGUGUUUAGUUGGUGAAAUGAAAAUUUUUGCGUGUACAUCAGACUUUGAUCGAAUGUUGGAAACGGUUUUCGAACAAGAAUGAAAAAACGAAUUUCAUGGCUGGCAUGGAAACCGCGAGAUGAAUCUUUUGACCCUAAUUAGUCCGUCAUUAGCCCAUAUGAGUUACUGUAGCACUUAUAGCUAAUCAUGUACUAAUUAGACUAAAAAGAUUCGUCUCAUGAUUUCUUGCAUAACUGUAUAAUUAGUUUUUCGAUUUAUCUAUGUUUAAUACUUUAUUUAAGUGUCUAAAGAUUUGAUGUGAUGUUUUUGGGUGAAAAUUUUGAGAACUAAACGGGGCCUAAAUGUAGAACUUUAUGCUAAAAUUUUUUUAGGGCAUUGUUAUAGUCUUUGAGAUGCAUGGUACGGGGCUUAUCAUAUUUUGUAAUAUAAAAUUUGAUAUCUUGUUUCUCAAUAAGCAUAAAAUUUAUGAAAUAUUGGUGAGCUGCCUAGUUUUACACUAAACUAUAAAAUGAUGAAACUUUCUAAUCAUGUGUAGAUUUAUUUAUCGAUUACAUAAUUUAUAAAUUAUAUAUAUAUGUAUAAAUUAAUUAGCAUUCAUAUAUAUAUCUAGUAAGGCUCAAAAGUCGUAAAAAGAAGACAGUAGUAAGAGCAAGUUUAAUAGUAUAGCCAACUACUAGCUCCAAUUCAUUUAUAGCCAAUCUAAUAGUCAACUUUUACGAUAACUGCCUAUAAAACAUAUAUCUCACAUAUCAUACACACAUUGUGUAUUGAAGUUCAUGCUGCAGCUAGCUGUAAAUUAGUAGCCCACUCAUCUUUUCUCUUCUCUCUUGCCUUAUCAAAAUAUUAUUAAAUAUGUUCAUACCUGGCUUAUAGCCUACUAUUGUACCUGCUCUAGCUUCCAACCCAUAAUCAAGAUCGUAAAAAAUCAUUUAUCAUUUUUUAUAUUUUAUCCAGAUUUAAGUAUUGAUAAGUAUACAGUAAAUGGUUUUACAUGAACAGUAUUAUAUAUACUAAUAUUUUAUUUAACGUAUUUUUUUCUAUAUUUUUUUUUCUAAAAUACAUAUUAUUUAGUCAUUUCUAAAGCGUAAGCGUGAAAGAAAACACCCCAACUUACAAGCUGGAAAAGAGAAGAUUCGAACAAACCCAUGCAUUGGCAUGUGUGUACGUGGUAUACUACUUGCGUGCUAGAGUCUGUUCGUGUGCAUUAAAUCAACAAAAUUAAUGAGAGGGAAAAAAAAAACCAAGACUAGUGCAGUGCUUAUCUGCCUCAGCCGAAUGAUCAAUGAUCAACACGGUUCAUUCACCCAACCGAGGCUGGCUCCACAGGGAACCUUUUUUUAAGGCUUUACCAGCUAGCUAGCUUCAAGUUGGGCAAUCAAUCUCGUUUAAUUUAGUUUGUUUGGGGGUGCACUUGAUUGCAAAUACUAGUAAAAUAUAGUACUAAUCUAAUGGUCUACGGCUGCAGUAAUCAAACUUUCGUUUUUGUGCGUACGUGUCUCUUAAAUGCCGAAGUAAUUAGGCCACAUGUGCAAUGCACGACGCGACGCAGCACACUCAUCCCAGUGAGAACCUAGGUAGAAAAGUCAACCAUGCGAGCGUGUGCAUAUAUUCGUUCGUGUGUGUGCGUGUGACCGAUCUGUACGUGAAAGGAUGGAUUCGAUGGCUGCUGGCGCUCGCAUUUAUUAAUCAGCAUCUAGAUGGAAUGGCCACUUCAAAAACUAUUCCUGGGGUGAUUGUUUGGAACGUCGUAUUUAGAAACGAAACAUAAUAUAUAUAUAUAUAUAUAUAUAUAUAUAUAGAGGAAUAAACGUUUUAUAUAAAUGUUGCCAAUUAUUUAAAAGUUAAUGCUGAAAAAUAAAUUAUGAUGUAAAAAUCACAAAUCAACAUUUAACGUUAAAAAUUAAUUUAAAUUUUAGCUUAAUUAUAAGCAUAAGCACAGGCGAAAAAAAUAUGGUGAUAAUUUUACAGAGGUGUCUAGAUUUUAUUUCUAUCGACAGACGGUAAGAAAAUCCAUUAUAAUGAUAGUAAAGUCUUGUAGAAAAACCAUGGCCCUCUUAGGAGAACUGGUCAUGAAAUUUUAUGAGAUGGCAAAAAACUUGUCGAAGCUACCCAAGAACAAGUCCUAGGCUAUCCGACAUUUCUCUCAUCCCUCCAACACACUGUUGCUCAGCUCUCCUCUCUCCUAUCAUCUUAUCCUUGCACAUUCUUAUUCCCAACCUUAGCUCUCCACCACAUCUCUUGGAUCUCAGGAUGUCAGGAUCCAACACCCUCAACCUCGUUCUUCACGUCAUCAUCAAUAACAAAGUGGCCACCCUCCUCUGACAAUAUGUGAUGUAGGGGCGCUUGGCCACCGCAGCAAGGGAAAAAGGGAGAGGGAGGAGAAGCACUAAGGAGAUGGGAGCUCAAACGGUGCGGGGAGCUAGUGAUCUAUGGCUCCUCCAACACAUCUCCUCCAUCACAUCAGCAUAUCAAUCAAUAGGCGUGUCGAUAUAUAGUGUCUUCUCUAGCGUGGUGGCUGCUUGGGAGACAUGUUGAUGGUGGCUCAACCAUCACCCUCUUUGUGGCUAGAUUUGACCCAGUGGAUCUGACAUUCCAGCAUGCUCCAACCAAUUGAUCUAGUAGUAUGGUGUCACAAUGAGUAGCGAAUGAUGGUCGCCCAAUGGAUGGAGAGCGAAGGGGAAGGGGUGGCACGAGAGGACGCCAAAGACGACUUCUACGAUAGUGCACAAUGAUUAGAUUUGGUCGCCACAAGCUUGAGGGGCACCAGAUCUGAUCGUCUCGACUCCACGAGCUCUGGGAAGGCUAGAUCCAUCAUCCAUUGAGCUCAACUAGUGGUGGUGAUGAUGGCCAGUGAGACAAGUAUGGUGCCUCCUUGAGACUUCUUAUUUUGAUUGUUGUAGGAAUUGCCAAAUUGUUGUAUGUAUGAACUAGUUGUUGCACUUGAUCCUAAUUGUUGUUUGGAUGGGAUGGAAAUCGUUGGAUUUGAUUUGUGAAUUGAAUCUGUAGUUGCGGUGGGAUUUUUUUGUGUGCUGAAAAUCACUUUUAGAUAUUGUUGGCUUAACCCAGCUGUCUUUGGAAACAUAUGUGUACAUAAGGAUAGGAAUGUGUAGGAUAUGGAUUAAUCUAAGCCUUUUUUAUUGAGUUCAUGAACCUAUAGUUCAAUAGGGUUAAUCCACGCUAAGCUCAUUGUGUGAAUAUGUUAUCCAUGGAUAAUCUAAUCAUUAAGAGAAGAGACAUGUGUGCAUAUGUAGGAAUGGACCAAAAUAUGUACAAAGUUGCUCUCGUACAUAAUAAACCAUGGCACCAAAUUUCAGUCAAAUUUAAUAAAGUUUUGUAGAGUGAACCCGAGUUAAAAGUUUCUAGGUCUGACUUUAUUCUUAUUAAAUGGGUCUGAAUAAAAUAGGUAAAAUGAGUAUAACAGCAAGAAGGAUCGAGAUCGUAAGUUAUUAAGGUUAAAAUUAUUUGGUACAUUAAAUUUUAUGAGCACCAUUUUAAAUCCAUUAUAGCAUAUUAUGGAUAGGUUCAAACAUAUAAAUGGAUUGAACCUAAACAUUCCCACCUUGAUGUGUAGGCAGGUGUCUUUAGGGAUCCUUUGUAAAAAUUGAUUUUCAUAGAAGAUAGCUUCUCUAUCAAACAUUUUGUUAGAGAUGGACCCGUCUCUGCAAAAUGGUACCCGCCUGCUAGAAUAGUUUUGGUAAUAGUGGCUGACAUUAUCUAUACUUAGGGGGUGAUUGUUUAUUAUUUUCAGAAAAAAAGUCAAACGAUAUUUGUAAAUAAAAAUUAAUUUAAAUGAAACUUUUAUAUUUGUGUUCUUAGCGAUCUAAAAGUCUAGGCUAAUUCCAAAAUCAACUCCUAAUUUAAGUUUGAAAAUUCAAGUUUUGGGCUUAUAAGCAUAAUCAAAAGCGAAAUAUGAGAUUAUUUAUUUAUCACAUUAUACAAAUCAAACGGGUUUUAUUUGUAGAUGUCGUAACAAGGCUAGAUCCAUGAGAACAACCAUCGUAGAAGCCCAAUGAGAAUAGUUGGCAUCAAAUCUCUACAAGGAUGACCGAUGGAGGAGCUUGAGGUGGACACUAUUACGUGGAGUUCGAUGGGGCUGACGACAGAGAGGAUUGACUGGGCAACAAUGCAGCGGAUUGAGGAGGCCAGAGCAGGGCAUGAUUUGGAUUGGGCCAACAGUGCUAGAGUUGAACAAGGUCGUGGCUCGCGUUAGCCUGUGGGCUGUGGGGUCGGCGGCUUGCCAAUGGUAGUUCUUAUUCUAACGGUGAAUAGACCCAAACUGAGUAAGUAGACGUGCAGCAAUGUUGUGAAACUCAGGUCGCGUUCGGUUGGAGUUAAUUUAUCCAGCGCAGAAAUACGUAGUAAUAGAUUAUCACAUGAUUAAUUAGUUAUUAGUUAUCAAAAAUUAAAAAAAGUAGAUUAAGCAAUUUUCCUAUAGAAAAUUUUCGCAAAAACAUACAGUUUAGCAGUUCAACAAACGUCCGCGUGAAAAACAAGGAAAUCCAGAUUAGUAAGGAAGAGAACGAACGAGGCCUCAGAGCUAUUGGAAGGGUUAUAGGAGUUGCUAUAGUCAUUGGAUCACAACACCAUCAUCGUGUGCCAUCACCUCAAGGAGGAAGUUGACGUCCACCUCUUCGACAAGAAGCUCGUCAUUCAGGAGUAAGGCGACCUAUUCUCGCUCUCAUUCGAGAGUCAUUCUAACGAACCCUAAUUAUGGAUGAUAUUAUGGUGAAAUCCAUUUUCUAACGAUGAUAACAAUUUCUCAAAAAGAACUCUGCCCUAGAAUAUGAGGGACAAAGUACCUGUUUAGCCUCCUGGCUCUUAUCAUUUCGUUUUUUUGAACUGCUUAUAAGCUAAUUUGAAUUUUAAAUUUUAAUCUUGAAAUUUAUCUUGUGAUUUUCUCAUGUAGUUUACUUUCCAACAUUUACUUUUAAAUCGCUAGUUUUAGUUAUAAAUUAUAUUUUUAUUUACAAAUAAGCCAUCUCGUUUUUCUUGAAAAAGCAAAAAGGUAGGAGCCCGGUGACUUCGCCAUCUCUAAAGGGCUCCCAUCGUUUCGUUUUUUGGAGGAAUAAGCGAAAACACGUUUUUGCAAACGAAAAAUAAUUUGCGGGUAAAACUUUUAUAUAUGUGUCCAUAGCAACUCAAAAGCGAAAUGUGAAAAAAAACCAUAAAAUUAAGUUCUAAAAUUUAAAUUUUGGUUUAUAACCAGUUGCAACUGCGAAACGAUAAAGCCCAAGGUCUUGAAAACUGCGUGUUAAGAGCUGGCUGGGACCUGACAUGGCAUGAAUAAAAUGAGUGGGAUAGGAGCCCACGGGUGCAUUUUACAGGGAUAUUUUAAACUCAAAAGGAUGUCUUCUCGUUUAAUGCAUGUUAUUUAAAUAGUUAUUAGAAAAUUUUAAAAAAAUUAUAAAUAUAGAUUAAUAUAAGAUAUAUCACUACACAAACAUGCAUCUUCAAAUAUAACUUCUACAUUCCUUAACAAAAAUAACAAAUUGAACUCUGAAUAGUAUACGUAUACUCACAUUUAUAUUUGUUAGGAAGUGUAGAAGUCAUAUUUGAACUUGCAUGUUUGUAUAGUGAUAUAUCUUAUAUUAAUUUAUCUUCAUAAUUUUUUAAAUUUUUUAAUGACUAUUUAAAUAACAUGGCAUACAUGAGAUGAGAUGAGAGACGUCAACUUAAAGGUUUAGUUUCCAUUUUACGUCUAUUUUUUUUUUGCAAAUCAUUUUACGUCUAUUUGAAGCUAGCUGGAGUAGCUAAGCUAGCACUACACAAGGAGUUAACAGGGAGCUCCGAUCGAUCCAUCGGCCAUCAAGUCCAUUUACUGGAGCUACUGUAGCCCAUAAAUUCCAUUGAUGGGCCUCAUUCAAGGUUUGGGAUCGAAUCGAUUGGACGGCGUCAGUCUAAUAAAGAAACGCAUAUAUAACACUCUAUCCUACAAUUGGAUAAUCAUCCUACGUGAAAACUAUGCUCCAAUAGCAUUAGAAUCCAUUUAGUUCGAAUUCACGAUUUUUGACCAACGAUAAGAUUGAUAUUAUGCUAUACGCUAAAGGGUUGUUUGAUUGGCGGCCACAACAGUAUCACCUGCUACAUUGGAAGUGGAUGGUGUGACCAUGAGAGUGACCAUCCAUUCCCUUUCUCCUUUCUCCUGGUUCUUCCCUCCAGGUUUAGGCCACACCACCCAUGGGUCCACCACAACAAACACACAGAGGUGACAGGUCUUCCAACCGGCACCUGUCUGAAAUUCUGAAUUUUUAGUUCCCUUCACCAGCCUCUGUUCAAGUUCAACAGACACCCUCUAUUCCUUCUCCGGCUGCCACCAUCUUAUAUAAAACACAAGCAUGAACGUGAGCAAUUAACAGCUGCAGUACUGCUACUUCUCCAUUGAUAGAUAGACAGAGAACAGAAAGAGAGAGAGAGAGAAACAGUGUGUGUUUAUGUAGCAAGGAGUAUAAUAUGGCCAAAUCAAAGUACUCCUCUAUAGUGCAGCUGCAUUUAAGAAAACCAAAUGAGAGGCCUCUCUAUGCUCACUUUCGCCUAUAAAUACUGCUUGGCCAAUCUCUCUUUCCCCCACAAGCACAGAGAAACACAGCCUUUACAUAAUAGUCAUAUUCGUUCCAACACCACCAUUUGAUUUUCUGCAGCUGCAAAAAAGUCUUGAGAGAGAAAAAUCAUCGUCAGUUCAUCACAAGAGACUACUAAAAGUAAGAUCUUUAUGUCCCUUUUCUUUAAUUUGUGGUUAUUUGCUUUGAGAAUUAGUAGUGUUAAGCAGUGAUUAAGCUUUGCUUGUGUUCAUGGAAUGAUAUGGAUGGGCAGGCAGGGCAGGUGAUUUUGGUUGAGCGACGGUGACUGUCACGGCGGCGUGAUGAGCAGGGGGAACGGCGGCGGCGNNNNNNNNNNNNNNNNNNNNNNNNNNNNNNNNNNNNNNNNNNNNNNNNNNNNNNNNNNNNNNNNNNNNNNNNNNNNNNNNNNNNNNNNNNNNNNNNNNNNNNNNNNNNNNNNNNNNNNNNNNNNNNNNNNNNNNNNNNNNNNNNNNNNNNNNNNNNNNNNNNNNNNNNNNNNNNNNNNNNNNNNNNNNNNNNNNNNNNNNNNNNNNNNNNNNNNNNNNNNNNNNNNNNNNNNNNNNNNNNNNNNNNNNNNNNNNNNNNNNGCGGCGGCAUCAACGCCGACGGCCGCCGCCACAGGAGGGCAUGAUCAUCACGGCGCCAACAAAAGAAGAAGCAUCUGCACGCAUCUUGAUCGCAGGAUCAAAGAAAAAAAAUCUCAUCUUGAUAUCACCUUCAUCACACAGUUAGUUGAUCAUCUAGGCCCAUUAGUUCCUCUCGAUUAGCAGCAGUAGUAAAUCAGUAAUCAUAAUUAAUCAGCUCGAUCCGCUGCAGAUUAUCCACUGUAACCACGACACAUACUCCCAACCUCGUUUUUUCCUCUGCUUAUUCUUAUAAACCAAAAUUUAAAUUUUUAACCUUAAAUUUAGAGUUAAUUUUAAGAUUUUUUCAGUUUACUUUAGUUUUUCGUUCGCGAAUAUAUCGUUCGAUGACACCGUACACACCGGAGAGAAUGUCAAGUUUCUUUGGAGAAACGAAAAUAAUUCUGAAUAUCACGCGAGAGUUCAACUGUUUUUCACCAAAAUUCCUGCAAAAUCGAUCUUUCAUAUGGGGGAAAUUCGCUGCUAGUGGUAGUAAGUAGUAAUCUGAAACGGUUGAAUAGUCGUGGUCAUGGUCGUAGAUAGUGUGCGUGAGAAGUUUAUGGUCAUGAGAAGC